CCUACGGGUGGCAGCAGUAGGGAAUAUUGCUCAAUGGGGGAAACCCUGAAGCAGCAACGCCGCGUGGAGGAUGAAGGUUUUCGGAUUGUAAACUCCUUUUGUUAGAGAAGAGAAUGACGGUAUGUAACGAAUAAGCACCGGCUAACACCGUGCCAGCAGCCGCGGUAAUACGGAGGGUGCAAGCGUUACUCGGAAUCACUGGGCGUAAAGAGCGCGGAGGGGGGAUAGCUAGUCAGAUGUGAAAUCCUAUGGCUUAACCAGAGAACGGCAUUUGAAACUGUUAUUCUAGAGUAUGGGAGAGGUAGGUGGAAUUCUUGGUGUAGGGGUAAAAUGCGUAGAGAUCGAGAGGAAUACUCAUUGCGAAGGCGACCUGCUAGAACAAAACUGACGCUGAGGCGCGAAAGCGUGGGGAGCAAACAGGAUUAGAUACCCGAGUAGGC
rnacentral:rRNA from 1 species